CUGGGAUAUCCUGCCAUAGAGGUGGGGCAGCCUUCGUUUUCAUUCUGAGUGUAGAAUCUUUCAUGAAUUUAUUCAUUAAUUUUUAAAAAGCAAUUUAUUGAGUUCCUGUGCUUCAAUCUAACAGGGAAGAUAGACAAUUAAAUGACUACAACACAAAAUGAAAAUUGUUAUAAAUGAGAAGCACAGGGAAUUAUGGGAGCUCACAGGAGGCCCGCCAACUAAAAGGGUGGAAAAAACUUUCUGAACAACUUUUAAGCUGACUCCUGAAGAAUGAGGAGGACUUAUUUAAGCAAGUGUGGGGUGUUGGGGAUGGGAGACAGGGGUAAUUGUGUGUGUGUGUGUCUGUGUUCAGUGUGAGAAAGCAAGAAAGAAUGUUUCAAGAAUAAGACAAUGGCAUGCGUGAAGCCGAAGUAAAGAAAGCACAGAGAUUUUAAGAAAUUGCAAGGGCUGAGUAUGGCUAGAAUAUAGCAUACGAUGGGGAGAUGGACACACUGAGAGAAGAACUGGACAGGCACUGGGGAGCCACUGAAAAUUCUUAAGCAGAAGACCAAGGCAACUAGACACCAGCCAUCAAGAGCUGCUUAUGCGGGAGGCCCUCGGUGACUCACUUGCUCCUACUUCCCUGGGACUAUCUUCCUCAUACCACCUGCAGACCCAGAAGUCAAGCCUGUAGGAUGAAACCUGUCCAUCCACGAGAUGGGAAGCUGCCAGUAAUGAUCGAAGAGGCACAGUCAAUGUGAGUGCUUUUCUCUGCCCACUCAGAACUCCUCAAAACUUGACAGUGGGCACAAAACAACGUGGCUCUGCCCCAAGCACAAGGACAAGGGGGAAAAGGACAGGUGGCAAAGCAUUCACAAAAGCUAACAGGAGAAAAGGCAGAUUGGUUUCUUUUCCUACAACGUAGGAGCUUUUAUUACUAGAAAAUAAAAUCCUGUCUGAGCAAAUGCCAGGAAAACGAUUAAGGGCUCAAUUUAGAUUGGGAGGCUUGGUUGGGCACUGCUAGGCAGGGAGCUAAACAAUGUCAGCCCCACUCUCUAUGCACAUCACGUUUGGGGUGAGUGGCCCGAGCCCCAGCCAGGCCUUUCACCACCAGUUUUGUAGAAUUACAGUUAAGCUUUGGCCACUUGGUUUCAGUUAAAAGGAUUGUGUGGAAGGAAGGAUAAAAGGCUCUUGCACGCAGACCAGCUAUUGCGUCUGAGGACUAAGAAGAAAUGCAGCCAGGGUGGUGCCAGACCUUGAAGAAACCCUUCUUCCCUGUGGUUCUCAGGCUCUCCAGCCUGACCCAGGAAGGGCAGGAGAGGUAGAGGAGCACGGGCUGGCUUUGAGUCAGACAGGCCCGGGUUGGAGUCCCCAUUCUACUG
rnacentral:lncRNA from 1 species